CAGAGAGCUUCUGAUCUUGGGCUCACAGCGAGAGCCAUCUGGACUUAAAUUCAGACGCAAGUAUAACUUCUGUUUUUUAAAGACUUGCUUGCAACUCGCUAAGAUGUUCUCUGUAUGCAGCAUUGUUUUCCCUACUUGUCCUCUGUGACAACAAACAACUUUAUAAAGAACCCCAACAGCUUUCUGCAAGAUCUUUGGCUUUGCUGAAGCACUGCUGAGCAGACCCGCAGCUGGACUGAGACAGGAAUGAGGCAGUCCAGCUAAUUUUGGCUGCUGCAGACAGGGGAGAUCUGCCACUCGCUUGGCCUUGCACAGGGCCACAGACUCACCAGCUGGCGAAACAGGUCUUAGAAGCGAGCAGUAGUGGCUGCACACAAAGGAGCCAGCUCUUGCUUUGGUAGGUAGGAACAGAAUACAAGGACCAAGCUGGGUGAAAACAGCAGCCAGGCUGGAAGCCACGCUCAGAGCACUGAGCCAUAGACAGUAGUUUCUGUUGGUUUGUUCAGGGGUCAGAACAGGUGAGGCCUCUAAAACUGUGUUUACGUGGCAGCAGUGCGCCAUUCCUCACUGCCAGCCAACAAGCUGUGAAGUUCUGAAGUAACUUACCCUUGGGCAUACAGCAAAGCUUGAAAGGAGGGUCAGCGUUUCGUAGAAAAUAGCAACUGCAUUUUUGGGAAUGGCUGUGUGUGGAGACAGCCCUGCUGCAGUGGACCACAGAGCCCAGGAGCACCAUGACAGCAGCAGUCAAGGCCAAACCCAGCGCCUCUGGGAACAGAGCAGUGUGUUAGGGCACCACAACAGAGGUCACCUCCGCCCAGCUGGGCCCCUGCACACACCUCUGCCUGCUUGCAUCAAGUGCAGAGAGCGGCCAGAAUCCAACCAGCCUUGGGUAGAACCCAUCUUCCCUGUUGGGCUGCUCUCGGGAGAAGAGCCCCCAAGCUCGAGCGAGCCCAUGGCAAACAGCCCAACUGCUGCCUACCACGGUAACGAAGGAAGACAUCUUGUCCAUUACCACUGCACGGCCGUGCGGCAUCGCAGGAGCACGCAGCUCACCACCGCUCCACGGGCAGGGCUGGGAAGAGGCAUAGGGAAGAGGGACGUGGGCUGCGCUCCAGCAGCAGGGCGGCCUGCCAGGUGGGGAGAGAGGCAGAGCGAGACUCUCAUCGAGUGCUAAGGAGAAUGCCGGAGCACCACUUGUUCCACGUGAUGCCUCAGCUUCUAAAAUUAAGUAGUUCGGUAAAACACCCCCCCUACAGCUAAGCCUCCUUUCUUCCUCGAAGGUUGUAGUACUUUGGCAAUAUCGGCUGCAAGAGAAUUUCGGACUGUAUGGUAGUGAACGCUUCGGCAUCGCACACACAGGAAGAACACAAAGUCAUGCUUUGCUGUCUCCUCCUGUUAGCAUUUCACAUCUCGGGAGCUUGUGACCAGUUAUGUUGAAAAGAAUUUGCUAUUCCACAUAACAAAUCAGCAUUGAAAAGGACACAUCUGAGGGAAAACA
rnacentral:lncRNA from 1 species